AGAGUUUGAUCCUGGCUCAGGAUGAACGCUGGCGGCGUGCUUAACACAUGCAAGUCGAACGGACCUUCGGGUUAGUGGCGGACGGGUGAGUAACGCGUGGGAAUCUGCCCUCAGGAGGGGGAUAACGGCUGGAAACGGCCGCUAAUACCCCAUAUGCCGAGAGGUGAAAUGAAUUUCGCCUGAGGAUGAGCCCGCGUCUGAUUAGCUAGUUGGUGAGGUAAUGGCUCACCAAGGCUUCGAUCAGUAGCUGGUCUGAGAGGAUGAUCAGCCACACUGGGACUGAGACACGGCCCAGACUCCUACGGGAGGCAGCAGUGGGGAAUUUUCCGCAAUGGGCGAAAGCCUGACGGAGCAACGCCGCGUGAGGGAUGAAGGCCUCUGGGCUGUAAACCUCUUUUCUCAAGGAAGAAGAUAUGACGGUACUUGAGGAAUAAGCCACGGCUAAUUCCGUGCCAGCAGCCGCGGUAAUACGGGAGUGGCAAGCGUUAUCCGGAAUUAUUGGGCGUAAAGCGUCCGCAGGCGGCCCUUCAAGUCUGCUGUUAAAGCGUGGAGCUUAACUCCAUCAUGGCAGUGGAAACUGUUGGGCUUGAGUGUGGUAGGGGCAGAGGGAAUUCCCGGUGUAGCGGUGAAAUGCGUAGAUAUCGGGAAGAACACCAGUGGCGAAGGCGCUCUGCUGGGCCAUAACUGACGCUCAUGGACGAAAGCCAGGGGAGCGAAAGGGAUUAGAUACCCCUGUAGUCCUGGCCGUAAACGAUGAACACUAGGUGUCGGGGGAAUCGACCCCCUCGGUGUCGUAGCCAACGCGUUAAGUGUUCCGCCUGGGGAGUACGCACGCAAGUGUGAAACUCAAAGGAAUUGACGGGGGCCCGCACAAGCGGUGGAGUAUGUGGUUUAAUUCGAUGCAACGCGAAGAACCUUACCAGGGUUUGACAUCCUGCGAACCUUUAAGAAAUUAGAGGGUGCCUUCGGGAACGCAGUGACAGGUGGUGCAUGGCUGUCGUCAGCUCGUGUCGUGAGAUGUUGGGUUAAGUCCCGCAACGAGCGCAACCCACGUUUUUAGUUGCCAGCAUUAAGUUGGGCACUCUAGAGAGACCGCCGGUGAUAAACCGGAGGAAGGUGUGGAUGACGUCAAGUCAUCAUGCCCCUUACAUCCUGGGCUACACACGUACUACAAUGCUACGGACAAAGGGCAGCAAACUCGCGAGGGCAAGCAAAUCCCAUAAACCGUGGCUCAGUUCAGAUCGUAGGCUGCAACUCGCCUACGUGAAGGAGGAAUCGCUAGUAAUCGCAGGUCAGCAUACUGCGGUGAAUACGUUCCCGGGCCUUGUACACACCGCCCGUCACACCAUGGAAGUUGGCCACGCCCGAAGUCGUUACUCCAACCCUUGUGGAGGAGGACGCCGAAGGUGGGGCUGAUGACUGGGGUGAAGUCGUAACAAGGUAGCCGUACCGGAAGGUGCGGCUG
rnacentral:rRNA from 1 species